rnacentral:rRNA from 1 species
UACGUAGGGAGCAAGCGUUGUCCGGAAUCAUUGGGCGUAAAGCGCGCGUAGGUGACCCUGUAAGUCCGUUGUGAAAGUCAAAGGCUCAACCUUCGAAAGCCGAUGGAUACUGCAGGGCUAGAGUCCGGAAGAGGCGAGUGGAAUUCCUGGUGUAGCGGUGGAAUGCGCAGAUAUCAGGAGGAACACCAAUAGCGAAGGCAGCUCGCUGGGACGGUACUGACACUGAGGCGCGAAAGCGUGGGGAGCGAACAGG